GAUGAACGCUGGCGGCGUGCCUAAUACAUGCAAGUCGAGCGAACGGACGAGAAGCUUGCUUCUCUGAUGUUAGCGGCGGACGGGUGAGUAACACGUGGAUAACCUACUUAUAAGACUGGGAUAACUUCGGGAAACCGGAGCUAAUACCGGAUAAUAUUUUGAACCGCAUGGUUCAAAAGUGAAAGACGGUCUUGCUGUCACUUAUAGAUGGAUCCGCGCUGCAUUAGCUAGUUGGUAAGGUAACGGCUUACCAAGGCAACGAUGCAUAGCCGACCUGAGAGGGUGAUCGGCCACACUGGAACUGAGACACGGUCCAGACUCCUACGGGAGGCAACAGUAGGGAAUCUUCCGCAAUGGGCGAAAGCCUGACGGAGCAACGCCGCGUGAGUGAUGAAGGUCUUCGGAUCGUAAAACUCUGUUAUUAGGGAAGAACAUAUGUGUAAGUAACUGUGCACAUCUUGACGGUACCUAAUCAGAAAGCCACGGCUAACUACGUGCCAGCAGCCGCGGUAAUACGUAGGUGGCAAGCGUUAUCCGGAAUUAUUGGGCGUAAAGCGCGCGUAGGCGGUUUUUUAAGUCUGAUGUGAAAGCCCACGGCUCAACCGUGGAGGGUCAUUGGAAACUGGAAAACUUGAGUGCAGAAGAGGAAAGUGGAAUUCCAUGUGUAGCGGUGAAAUGCGCAGAGAUAUGGAGGAACACCAGUGGCGAAGGCGACUUUCUGGUCUGUAACUGACGCUGAUGUGCGAAAGCGUGGGGAUCAAACAGG
rnacentral:rRNA from 1 species